GUGCUGUAGCUCAGUUGGUAGAGCAACGGACUGAAAAUCCGUGUGUCACUGGUUCAAUUCCCGUCAGCACC
rnacentral:tRNA from 1 species